UCCCACGAUGUAUUUGUACUAUUAGAAUGGUUAAAAGUGACUUUUUCUUGAUUUUAUAAAACAUGGAGGGAAUUGUUGAAACACAUCAUAACUAAUUUGCAUAACCACAACCUUUCUGCCUGGAGUCACUAACGAUUAUUAUAUGGCAGUUAUAAAAAGAUUCAUGUCGAUGCAGUUUUAAUGUAAAAAAUCAACAACUGUCCCGAAAGAAGUUCUAUCCAGAUCAGAAACACGAUGAUGCUGAAUUCCAAAUACAUUGCUAUAUUUGCAAUAAUCAUUAUAAUAAAUGAAAAUAUAGUCUUAUCUGUUGGAACCGAGUCAAUAACGAACUCAACAAAUACGUCACAAUCUCUCUUGGGAGACAGUAUCUUGGGUCAAGCUCUGGACAUCAAUAUAAAUAUUGAGACAAAGGUUAAAGAGCCUACAAACGCUCCUCUGGAUUUAAGUAAAGUCAAUCUUAAACUGCUUUGUACGAUGAUUAAAGAUUUAUGCCGAAACCAGUAUGACAGUUGGGGUGGAUGAACAAAACAAUUUGGAAUUAUGUUACGUAUUAAAAAAAAACAAACGAAAAAAUAAAUCAACUAUCUCAUUUAAAA